rnacentral:pre_miRNA from 1 species
CGGUCCUUCCCGGGGCACCUUGCCGUUAGGUAGUUGAGCAAGCGAGCUGCCCAGUGAAGGGCUUUC